GUUUCCGUAGUGUAGUGGUUAUCACAUCCGCUUAAAACGCGAAAGGUGCCCAGUUCGAUUCCGGGCGGUAACA
rnacentral:tRNA from 1 species